AUGACGUCAAGUCCUCAUGGCCCUUAUAGUGGGGCUACACACGUCAUACAAUGGAUGGUACAAAGGGGUCGCCAACCCGCGAGGGGGAGCCAAUCCCAUAAGCCAUUCGUAGUCCGGAUCGCAGUCUGCAACUCGACUGCGUGAAGUCGGAAUCGCUAGUAAUCGUGGAUCAGAAUGUCACGGUGAAUACGUUCCCGGGUCUU
rnacentral:rRNA from 1 species